CUACAUUCCGUGGCAGCCUGGCUCCAACAUCCCAGGGAAUUGUGUCACUCCCAUUGAGCAGCUGUGGGGCCCUCUCCCACAUGGCCCAGGUCCACCACUCUGUCAAAGGUCGCACAGCCCAGACAAAAACAGGACACAGCAGUGUGUGAAUGAGCCGGGCUUUCUCCUUCCCUCCACGUAAUAGAAGGUGCCUGAGGUUGUUGAAACACAGUCCAUUUCUCCUGGGAAUGACAAGAAUUUGAGGGAUGCUGACUUUCAAGGAAUACUGCAUGACAGGCAUCAAGAUAAACCUGAUGAAGAAAACAUAGGCCAGAAUCUGGGAAUCGGGAGCAAAGUAAUACAGCUUCGGGGACAGGCACGUAAUGAGGUCAUGAUGUAGGAGACUCCCUGCAGGACUGGCGGCCCCUGUUCCCUGGGUUGUUCUGGCUCUUUCAGAACCUGACCCUGGAACAGGACUGAGCAGGUGCCUGUGUGCACAGAAGACCUUGUGUGAGUCCUUUGGUACCACGUUUGCUGCACGAAUGUCUGAGACACCUCACAGUCGCUUGGUUCAGCCUCUCCCUCCUCUCUCCGCUGGGGAACAUCAUCCCUCAUCACUGGAAGAAAUUACAAGGAUUGUGUAAACAAUUACAAGUAUUCUACAAACAGGUAAAAUAAUUAUUUAGUUCCAAUCAUCUUUGUACACAAAGAUUUAUAUGUUAACAAGCUGAAUUCCUGCUUCAUCUGGAGGACUGCACAGUGUAUCUGAGAGAGGAUUUUCAGGAGGCCAGAAAAUCAAGCUGGAGGGAUUUUCAGCGUGUUGGGAGAUUGCUACCUGUUUUAAGUCAGGCCAUUGCCACGUCUUUUUCCCCACCUUGGAGACUUCAGGCCUUCAGACAACACUCCCGCACUGGGUUUAUGAGAGUAACCCCCACCUUCCCAGGAAGUUGGAAGCAUUGCCCCAGCCUUUCCAGAAGCUCUGCCUGCCGUUAGCUUGGAUCAUGAAAAUUGGCUCGGCCAGGAGAAUACAUUAUAAGGCCCCAAACCGCGCCAAAUCUUAAGCCCUCAGAGCAUAAAGAUAAACUGAUUUACAAUUAUUUUCAUUAAAAUGUCAUUUUAGGUAUAUGAA
rnacentral:lncRNA from 1 species